GACGAACGCUGGCGGCGUGCCUAAUACAUGCAAGUAGAACGCAGUUGCGAACGGGUGAGUAAUGCGUAGGUAACUGCCUCAUAGCGGGGGAUAACUAUUGGGAACGUUAGCUAAUACCGCUUACUUUGAGCUGGACCUGCGUUGUAUUAGCUAGUUGGCGGGGUAAAGGCUCACCCAGGCGACGAUACAUAGCCGGCCUGGGAAGGAGGUAGGGCAAACUGGGAAUGGGAAACGGGCCAAGAUCCCAAGGGAGGGAGCAGGAGGGGAUCUUCGGAAAAGGACGGAAGGCUGGACGAGCAAAGGCGGGGGAGGGAAGAAGGGUUUCGGAUCGUAAAGCUCUGUUGUGAGAGAAGCGGUAACUAACCAGAAAGGGACGGCUAACUACGUGCCAGCAGCCGCGGUAAUUC
rnacentral:rRNA from 1 species